rnacentral:misc_RNA from 1 species
UUUUUUUUUUUUUUUUUAAUUCAAUUCAAACUGAUAAUUAAGAUUAUUGAUCUAACAUAUGUUACCAUCAAGUGUGUUGGAGCCUUCAGUCGUGUUAAAUGCAUCCAAUCUUUGAUUCGACUCUUCGCCCAGCAUUAAAGACUCAAUAUCGUCUCUAUUUGGAAUAAGUGAAUCCAUUGCAAGUUGUCUAUACUCUUGACACUUGACAAUGACUCCUGGUAAAUCCUUUAUGGAGUGAGUUAAAACGAGGACUAUAAAAUCAUUUAACUAUUUAACUGUAGACUCUGAGCCUCAAAGGCAAUGAACAUUACAUCAAGAUUUUUUUUUUUUCCCUUUUUGCAAUUAAAAGAAACAGAGAUAAUAAGUGUUCAGCCAUUGCAUGUAAAAGUAAAACCUAUUUCUAGUUUAACCAGUUAAUUACUGCAUUAUAACUUAACCAGUUCAACAUAGGCAGGUGAAGUUCCUGUCUGAUAUUUAAAGAAGACGGGCCAACGACGAUUAUAGAGUAAUUAUACAAACCGAGAACACAUGCCAUAACCCCUAAAGCUUCUAUCCCAUGACUCAGCUUCCCAUUGGUUAAUAUAUUAAAAUAUCUAAGCGUAACAAUCACGCGCCUCCAACUUCCUGUGGCAGUUCCCCACCCUUUCUUGCACGUUCAGCUCGGGUUUUUAGCCACUCCAUCAUAUCACCAUGCACCAAAUUCACGCUCUCCUCCGGCUCACCAACAAGCUGGUGCCACAUUCCUGGGUAAAUUUUCAAAGUUUUGUCCUUACUCGAGGCGCGUCGAUGUAGCUCCUCCACGCAUGCAGGGUCGCACACCACAUCAUCACCGCCGUGUACAAUCAGCAACGGUACUUCCACCUUCUCGAAACUCCCUUGCAGGUCUCUGCACACCCUCAGCAACUCAAACGCCGUAGCCGCGCGUGGCCUCAUAACUACUCUCCUCGGGCUCGACACAGCUAACUUCUUCUUCCACGACUCCUUGAAUGAGACAGAAGGCAACGAUCCGCGAGUGGGAACUACGCACCAAGUGGGCAUCACCGCAGCGGCUAUGAAAAGCAAAUGCUCUAAAGGCCAUGGAGGCUUAAUCUUGUCGCUAAUCCCACACAUGGCACCAUUCAAAAUCAGCCCAUCCCACGCUCCCUUCUGACGAAGGGUGAUGUACAAAGCUAUAGCACCACCCAGUGACUCGGCAUACAAAAACGCGGGCAAAUUGGGAGCGUGGGCUUCACGAAAUGCCUUAAAGAAAUCGAUGCAAUCAUCGACGACGGGAUUGAUAUCGGGGAUGUGGUAGAUCAGGCCAUCCGAGAAGCCGUGGCCCUGAUGGUCAAUUGCACAAACAAUGAAACCAUAUUGGGCAAAGAGGAUGGAAGUCAACUGCACUAACCAGCUAGUCUCACCGGUGUAGCCAUGGACGACGGCGACACAGCCAAUGGGUUCAGUGGGAGAGAGCGGGGCCCACCACUGGGUGAAGAGCUUGAGGCCGCGGGAGUUGGUUAUGUACUCGGAGGAGUGGGUGACGCGGUGGCGGGCGUAGAAUUCUGCAGGCGAGAGUGAUCCGAAGGGGCUUUCCUCGUUUGCCUCUGCCACCGGGUGCUGCACCGCCAUUUUCGUUGCUCUGGAAGGCUAACUUGCGCGGGUAGCGGAAGAUACGAGGUAAGGAAAAUGUGAAUUGAGAGGGAGGGAAGGAGCGUCUUCAUAUGUUUGAAGGUGGUUGAGCGUUGGGGUUUAUUUAUUUUGAUUCGUUGGCGGGUGGGAUGAUUCACUGCAUUCGGGACUACAAUAGCA